rnacentral:rRNA from 1 species
AUUGAACGCUGGCGGCAGGCCUAACACAUGCAAGUCGAGCGGGGUUUUCGGACCUAGCGGCGGACGGGUGAGUAAUGCGUAGGAAGCUACCCGAUAGAGGGGGAUACCAGUUGGAAACGACUUAAUACCGCAUAAUGUCUACGGACCAAAGUGUGGGACCUUCGGGCCACAUGCUAUCGGAUGCGCCUACGUGGGAUUAGCUAGUUGGUGGGGUAAUGGCUCACCAAGGCGACGAUCCCUAGCUGGUUUGAGAGGAUGAUCAGCCACACUGGAACUGAGACACGGUCCAGACUCCUACGGGAGGCAGCAGUGGGGAAUAUUGGACAAUGGGCGCAAGCCUGAUCCAGCCAUGCCGCGUGUGUGAAGAAGGCCUUCGGGUUGUAAAGCACUUUCAGUAGGGAGGAAGGGUUAAGUGUUAAUAGUACUUAACUUUGACGUUACCUACAGAAGAAGCACCGGCUAACUCUGUGCCAGCCGCCGCAGUAACAC